rnacentral:lncRNA from 1 species
GGAAGGAUGCCUCCAAGCCGAUAGAGCAAUCGAGAUACUCUCCCCAAGAGACUCGUGAGCUAACUUGUGAGCUUGGUCAAGGUUCAGCCAAACGAGCAAGGGUCCGUUGGCCUAGACGCGCAGUUGUGGGGCAACACUGUGCUACGGAAGCUGGAUACAAGUUGUGUGGGCUAUGCUUGGCUAUGCCAUAAGACAUGAGAGGGCAUAUCUAAGAAAGACGCUUGAGACAAAGGCCAAGGAUUGAGGGUUGCCCUACUCGGGCGAAGCAAAGGCCAAGUGCACGUGCAUGAGGCGAUGUCAAGCUUGAGGAUAGGACUGUGCAUGCGAUGGCAAUGCUCAGGCCAAGGCAAGGGACAAGUAGGUCCGUAGCCACCCCCAGGAGCGCAUAUGGAUGAGAUCCACGGAUUAAAGGUGCGCCAGAAGAGUUGCUUAUACGUUGGCCAUGUCAGCCGACAUGUUGAAUGAGCGGCACCAAAGGGGGCAAGCCUCUGAGGCGAGCUUCCCACAAGCACAGGAUCGUGCUAAAGACCUGGGAAAUGAGGAAGGCUGGCCCAUAGUUGGGGGAACCAUGGGCGCCGCACGGGCAGAAUUGUGUGCCGCUGACACGUUGAAAAAUGAGCCCGUGACAGU